GGAUGCAAAAGGCGGGUUCCUGUGUUGCAUACCCUAUUUCGACGGAAAUUUGUGCCUAUUGUUGUCCCUUUCAACGCGACAUCCUCUUUGGGUGCUCGGUUGGACUAGAUAGUGGGGCUUGUGUUCCUCGAACAUCUCAUUUGAUGGUUCGGAUGGACCACGAGUACUCACUUGCUCUCUCGGAUGCGGAACUUUCUUCAUGGGUGUUGGGGUCAUCGGCCCUUGUUCCCAAUCUCAAGCGUUUAACGCUUUUACUGAAAUGACGCUCUUGCCUUGUCUUUGAUCGCGUGGAGCUCUCGAGCUCCACGACGGAUCAUGCUCGGCGGACGUCGUGAAGGAAUGCUACCUGGUUGAUCCUGCCAGUAGUCAUAUGCUUGUCUCAAAGAUUAAGCCAUGCAUGUGUAAGUA
rnacentral:misc_RNA from 1 species